UACGUAGGGUGCGAGCGUUGUCCGGAAUUACUGGGCGUAAAGGGCGCGUAGGCGGUCAGCACAAGUCAGUUGUGAAAUCUCCGGGCUUAACUCGGAAAGGUCAACUGAUACUGUGCGACUAGAGUGCGGAAGGGGCAACUGGAAUUCUCGGUGUAGCGGUGAAAUGCGUAGAUAUCGAGAGGAACACCGAUGGCGAAGGCAAUCCCCUGGACCUGUACUGACGCUCAUGCACGAAAGCGUGGGGAGCAAACAGG
rnacentral:rRNA from 1 species